AUCAGAGAGGGUGACAGUCCCGUCUGUGCCUCGGAGGCUCUGUGUGAAGGCCGCAUUACUAGAGUCGAGUUGCUUGGGAUUGCAGCUCAAAGUUGGUGGUAAAUUCCAUCUAAGGCUAAACACGGGUGGGAGACCGAUAGCGAACAAGUACUGUGAAGGAAAGAUGAAAAGAACUUUGAAAAGAGAGUCAAAGAGUGCCUGAAAUUGCUGAGAGGGAACCGUAGGUAACCAA
rnacentral:rRNA from 1 species